rnacentral:rRNA from 1 species
AGUGAACGCUGGCGGUAGGCCUAACACAUGCAAGUCGAACGGCAGCACAGUAAGAGCUUGCUCUUACGGGUGGCGAGUGGCGGACGGGUGAGGAAUACAUCGGAAUCUACUUUUUCGUGGGGGAUAACGUAGGGAAACUUACGCUAAUACCGCAUACGACCUACGGGUGAAAGCAGGGGAUCUUCGGACCUUGCGCGAUUGAAUUAGCCGAUGUCGGAUUAGCUAGUUGGCGGGGUAAAGGCCCACCAAGGCGACGAUCCGUAGCUGAUCUGAGAGGAUGAUCAGCCACACUGGAACUGAGACACGGUCCAGACUCCUACGGGAGGCAGCAGUGGGGAAUAUUGGACAAUGGGCGCAAGCCUGAUCCAGCCAUACCGCGUGGGUGAAGAAGGCCUUCGGGUUGUAAAGCCCUUUUGUUGGGAAAGAAAAGCAGCAGGUUAAUACCCCGCUGUUCUGACGGUACCCAAAGAAUAAGCACCGGCUAACUUCGUG